AUUGAACGCUGGCGGCAUGCCUUACACAUGCAAGUCGAACGGUAACAGGUCUUCGGAUGCUGACGAGUGGCGAACGGGUGAGUAAUACAUCGGAACGUGCCUAGUAGUGGGGGAUAACUACUCGAAAGAGUGGCUAGUACCGCAUGAGAUCUACGGAUGAAAGCAGGGGAUCGCAAGACCUUGUGCUACUAGAGCGGCCGAUGGCAGAUUAGGGAGUUGGUGGGAUAAAAGCUUACCAAGCCGACGAUCUGUAGCUGGUCUGAGAGGACGAUCAGCCACACUGGGACUGAGACACGGCCCAGACUCCUACGGGAGGCAGCAGUGGGGAAUUUUGGACAAUGGGCGAAAGCCUGAUCCAGCAAUGCCGCUUGCAGGAUGAAGGCCUUCGGGUUGUAAACUGCUUUUGUACGGAACGAAAAGCCCCGGGUUAAUACCCUGGGGUCAUGACGGUACCGUAAGAAUAAGCACCGGCUAACUACGUGCCAGCCGCCGCCGUAA
rnacentral:rRNA from 1 species